rnacentral:lncRNA from 1 species
CUCGGGCCCUGCCCCGGCUCCCUGGGCAGGUGGGGGCACGGAAAGGAAGUUGAGGAGCCAGUGUUCUAACCCCCGUGGUGCCAAUUAUCUCCAUGGCCUCUAGUAAGCAGGUAAGCCUAUGUCCCCAUCAGUGAAAGGAAUAACAAGGAGGUUAGCCUCUCUUUUAGCUGUUCUGGUGCUUGUGUCAGAGGUGUCAGUGUCAGACUCACAGGCACAGGGAGGUAGCUCAGCACUUCUCCCUCCCUCCCUCUCCCUCCCACAGACAACCUCUAGGUUUUCUUCCUUUUCUUUCUUCUCCCUUUGGGGUGGUAGAGGAGGAAAGCCUGCUGAGGCAAGAGGAAACCGGAGAAGUCAGUCAGAGUAACAGAAGAAGUAGUACUCCUCCACCCAGGGAGGAGGGAGAGAACAGAGCCAUCACCGUGCUCCCACCCUUCCUGAAGUUUGCCACUCCCUGUAGUUCAGCUGAGAUGGUGAUUUAUUUUUGUCUUCAUUAUAGUUAUUGAUGCUCACUGAAUGAUCAAUGGAACCACAGGCUUGCCACAGAGCCAGCCCCUACCCUCAGAACAGUCAGCAGUGCUUGUUGAAGAAGUGAAUGAAGAAACAAAUGGGUGGAGAUCUAUAGCCUGAUGGGAAAUUAUUUGGCCUUUAUGCUUUGUGUUUUAUGUUUUGACUUACAUGGUGCGAUGUAACUAUUCUUGGUUGUUAACUUGACUACAUCUGGAAUUAACUAAAACCCUGUGAGGGAUUUUUUUCUCGACUGGAUCAUUUGAGGUAGGAAGACCCACCUGAAAUCUGGGUCACACACUCUGGUAGCA